CUGGAGCGUUUCCCAGGGAACAGUGCAACAGACAUGUUUGGCUUCUUUGCAUCUGACAGCUGUGCAGCAAUCUCGUACUACAGAACAGGCUGGCACUUAACAUAAUCAACAAUCACUGUGGAUGGGAUGGCCAGCAAGGACUGGCACUAGAGACCUGAGAUACUCACCAAUGCUCGGAAGACCCUACCUGACCAACCGUACAUAACGUCCACUCACUGGGAUAACAGUGUGUUAGCUUUACUUGCUGAAGUAUCCGUGUGGCCUGACGUGGGCAGUUGGACACAGUGUAGCUUGACUACUCUCAAUCAAUGCAGCGCCUCUUCAACCUCAAGAGGCUGAAGAAAUGUGGCUUCUCACCAAAAGCACUCAAACUUCUACAGAUGCACAAUCGAGAGCAUCC
ensembl:lncRNA